GACGAACGCUGGCGGCGUGCCUAAUACAUGCAAGUCGAACGCACUCUCGUUUAGAUUGAAGGAGUUUGCUCCUGAUUGAUAAACAUUUGAGUGAGUGGCGGACGGGUGAGUAACACGUGGGUAACCUGCCCUAAAGUGGGGGAUAACAUUUGGAAACAGAUGCUAAUACCGCAUAAAACCUAACACCGCAUGGUGUAGGGUUGAAAGAUGGUUUCGGCUAUCACUUUAGGAUGGACCCGCGGUGCAUUAGUUAGUUGGUGAGGUAAAGGCUCACCAAGACCGUGAUGCAUAGCCGACCUGAGCGGGUAAUCGGCCACACUGGAACUGAGACACGGCCCAGGCUCCUACGAGAGGCAGCAGUAGGGAAUCUUCCACAAUGGACGAAAGUCUGAUGGAGCAACGCCGCGUGAGUGAAGAAGGUGUUCGGAUCGUAAAACUCUGUUGUUGGAGAAGAAUGUAUCUGAUAGUAACUGAUCAGGUAGUGACGGUAUCCAACCAGAAAGCCACGGCUAACUACGUG
rnacentral:rRNA from 1 species